rnacentral:tRNA from 1 species
UCCUGAUGGCUCAGAUGGUAAAGAAUCUGCCUGCAAUGCAGGAGACCUGGGUUCAAUUCCUAGGUUGGGAA